rnacentral:rRNA from 1 species
GGGUUGUGAGGUUAAGCGACUAAGCGUACACGGUGGAUGCCCUGGCAGUCAGAGGCGAUGAAGGGCGUGCUAAUCUGCGAUAAGCGCCGGUAAGGUGAUAUGAACCGUUAUAACCGGCGAUACCCGAAUGGGGAAACCCAGUGUGACUCGUCACACUAUCAUUAACUGAAUCCAUAGGUUAAUGAGGCGAACCGGGGGAACUGAAACAUCUAAGUACCCCGAGGAAAAGAAAUCAACCGAGAUUCCCCCAGUAGCGGCGAGCGAACGGGGAGGAGCCCAGAGCCUGAAUCAGCAUGUGUGUUAGUGGAAGCGUCUGGAAAGGCGCGCGAUACAGGGUGACAGCCCCGUACACAAAAGCGCAUGUGCUGUGAGCUCGAUGAGUAGGGCGGGACACGUGGUAUCCUGUCUGAAUAUGGGGGGACCAUCCUCCAAGGCUAAAUACUCCUGACUGACCGAUAGUGAACCAGUACCGUGAGGGAAAGGCGAAAAGAACCCCGGCGAGGGGAGUGAAAAAGAACCUGAAACCGUGUACGUACAAGCAGUGGGAGCCCCACCACUAAGCCAGUGGUGAACUCCACAUCCGCAUCCUUUGCUGAGGAUACGGUUAACGGAGCGAAAGCGACGUUCAACCGCAAAACAAGCAGAGGGGGCUUAGUGGUGGGGUGACUGCGUACCUUUUGUAUAAUGGGUCAGCGACUUAUAUUCUGUAGCAAGGUUAACCGAAUAGGGGAGCCGGAGGGAAACCGAGUCUUAAUUGGGCGUUAAGUUGCAGGGUAUAGACCCGAAACCCGGUGAUCUAGCCAUGGGCAGGUUGAAGGUUGGGUAACACUAACUGGAGGACCGAACCGACUAAUGUUGAAAAAUUAGCGGAUGACCUGUGGCUGGGGGUGAAAGGCCAAUCAAACCGGGAGAUAGCUGGUUCUCCCCGAAAGCUAUUUAGGUAGCGCCUCGUGAAUUCAUCUCCGGGGGUAGAGCACUGUUUCGGCUAGGGGGCCAUCCCGGCUUACCAACCCGAUGCAAACUGCGAAUACCGGAGAAUGUUAUCACGGGAGACACACGGCGGGUGCUAACGUCCGUCGUGAAGAGGGAAACAACCCAGACCGCCAGCUAAGGUCCCAAAGUCAUGGUUAAGUGGGAAACGAUGUGGGAAGGCCCAGACAGCCAGGAUGUUGGCUUAGAAGCAGCCAUCAUUUAAAGAAAGCGUAAUAGCUCACUGGUCGAGUCGGCCUGCGCGGAAGAUGUAACGGGGCUAAACCAUGCACCGAAGCUGCGGCAGCGACGCUGAUGCGUUGUUGGGUAGGGGAGCGUUCUGUAAGCCUGCGAAGGUGACCUGUGAGGGUUGCUGGAGGUAUCAGAAGUGCGAAUGCUGACAUAAGUAACGAUAAAGCGGGUGAAAAGCCCGCUCGCCGGAAGACCAAGGGUUCCUGUCCAACGUUAAUCGGGGCAGGGUGAGUCGACCCCUAAGGCGAGGCCGAAAGGCGUAGUCGAUGGGAAACGGGUUAAUAUUCCCGUACUUGGUGUUACUGCGAAGGGGGGACGGAGAAGGCUAUGUUGGCCGGGCGACGGUUGUCCCGGUUUAAGCGUGUAGGUGUGUGUUCCAGGUAAAUCCGGUUCACUUUAACACUGAGGCGUGAUGACGAGGCACUACGGUGCUGAAGCAACAAAUGCCCUGCUUCCAGGAAAAGCCUCUAAGCAUCAGGUAACAUCAAAUCGUACCCCAAACCGACACAGGUGGUCAGGUAGAGAAUACCAAGGCGCUUGAGAGAACUCGGGUGAAGGAACUAGGCAAAAUGGUGCCGUAACUUCGGGAGAAGGCACGCUGACACGUAGGUGAAGUGAUUUACUCAUGGAGCUGAAGUCAGUCGAAGAUACCAGCUGGCUGCAACUGUUUAUUAAAAACACAGCACUGUGCAAACACGAAAGUGGACGUAUACGGUGUGACGCCUGCCCGGUGCCGGAAGGUUAAUUGAUGGGGUCAGCGCAAGCGAAGCUCCUGAUCGAAGCCCCGGUAAACGGCGGCCGUAACUAUAACGGUCCUAAGGUAGCGAAAUUCCUUGUCGGGUAAGUUCCGACCUGCACGAAUGGCGUAAUGAUGGCCAGGCUGUCUCCACCCGAGACUCAGUGAAAUUGAACUCGCUGUGAAGAUGCAGUGUACCCGCGGCAAGACGGAAAGACCCCGUGAACCUUUACUAUAGCUUGACACUGAACAUUGAGCCUUGAUGUGUAGGAUAGGUGGGAGGCUUUGAAGUGUGGACGCCAGUCUGCAUGGAGCCGACCUUGAAAUACCACCCUUUAAUGUUUGAUGUUCUAACGUGGACCCGUAAUCCGGGUUGCGGACAGUGUCUGGUGGGUAGUUUGACUGGGGCGGUCUCCUCCUAAAGAGUAACGGAGGAGCACGAAGGUUGGCUAAUCCUGGUCGGACAUCAGGAGGUUAGUGCAAUGGCAUAAGCCAGCUUGACUGCGAGCGUGACGGCGCGAGCAGGUGCGAAAGCAGGUCAUAGUGAUCCGGUGGUUCUGAAUGGAAGGGCCAUCGCUCAACGGAUAAAAGGUACUCCGGGGAUAACAGGCUGAUACCGCCCAAGAGUUCAUAUCGACGGCGGUGUUUGGCACCUCGAUGUCGGCUCAUCACAUCCUGGGGCUGAAGUAGGUCCCAAGGGUAUGGCUGUUCGCCAUUUAAAGUGGUACGCGAGCUGGGUUUAGAACGUCGUGAGACAGUUCGGUCCCUAUCUGCCGUGGGCGCUGGAGAACUGAGGGGGGCUGCUCCUAGUACGAGAGGACCGGAGUGGACGCAUCACUGGUGUUCGGGUUGUCAUGCCAAUGGCACUGCCCGGUAGCUAAAUGCGGAAGAGAUAAGUGCUGAAAGCAUCUAAGCACGAAACUUGCCCCGAGAUGAGUUCUCCCUGAGACUUUAGGUCUCCUGAAGGAACGUUGAAGACGACGACGUUGAUAGGCCGGGUGUGUAAGCGCAGCGAUGCGUUGAGCUAACCGGUACUAAUGAACCGUGAGGCUUAACCUUACAACGCCGAAG